rnacentral:tRNA from 1 species
GGAAGGGUGGCAGAGCCCGGUUUAUUGCACUGGUCUUGAAAACCAGCGACGCUUUACGGCGUCCGUGAGUUCGAAUCUCACCCCUUCCGCCA